rnacentral:rRNA from 1 species
UAGGGAAUCUUCCACAAUGGACGAAAGUCUGAUGGAGCAACGCCGCGUGAGUGAAGAAGGGUUUCGGCUCGUAAACUCUGUUGUUAAAGAAGAACGUAUCUGAGAGUAACUGUUCAGGUAUUGACGGUAUUUAACCAGAAAGCCACGGCUAACUACGUGCCAG